rnacentral:misc_RNA from 1 species
CGCAGUCAACAACAUGAUCUCCGCCGGUUUGCAGGGGGUCGAUUUCGUCGUCGCCAACACCGACGCGCAGGCCCUCACCAUGUCGAAGGCCGAACGCAUCGUGCAGAUGGGCACCCAGGUCACCCAAGGUCUCGGCGCGGGUUCGCAGCCGGACGUUGGCGCCGCGGCCGCUCAGGAAGUCAUCGAUGAGAUCAAGGAUCAUCUCUCGGGCGCGAACAUGGUGUUCGUCACCGCGGGCAUGGGCGGCGGCACCGGCACUGGAGCAGGCCCCGUGAUCGCCGCGACCGCGCGCGAGA